GCGUGUUAUUACUAUGCGAGAACGUAUUUUAUAAAAAAUUGAAAAAUCGAAUUUCCGAGCGGCGGAAAAGCGGAUUUCUUGCCCUCGUCCCAUCAUUCGGGGGCUGUGCUUCGUUCACUACCGACCGAACAAAUUAAGGUCAAUACGGAGGGGGCUGUAUUUUCAGCAAAAUAUUCCAUCGUUCGUAUCGUCGAAUCUCAUCGCGGAUCGAUGACGAUAAUACCGUUGUAAUUUAUUACGCUUGACCGGGAUAUAUAUCGAAAUUCGACCUCCACGUUGUUAAGCAAAAUGGAAAAUUGAAAAUAGGAAUUCGUUUGCAUCGGGCACACACAUCUCUACGUAUUAUAUAUAUCUCGAUUGAAAACACGAUCGUCAUCGUGGAUGAAGAAUCUCCGGUUACCAGUUGAGUUACAGCCGCAACCACCGCUUUUUCAUCAAAGAAAUCUCUUAACGUGUCAUUGAAUUAAAAACGAUGACAUUUCACCGUUCACGGAUCGGCGUGUAUUUUUCUCGGCAUAAAUAUCGUUCGUAACUCGAACGAGGAUCUGGAGAAUCGUUCGUGCAUCCAUAUGCACGGUGUACAUAUAUGCAUAUAUAUGUGCAAUAUACGGACAAACGUGUAUGCUCCAUAGAGGGACCGCCAUGGAACACUUGAAACGGAUUUUCAGCGGAGAAUACGGCGCAGUUAAAACAGUGACGACAGCUUUUAAUUGAGGCUAGGACGCCAAGUGAAAUAUUGGAAUUAAUCGCGAAACUUGCGUCGGCUAACGAACGAAGAGAGCUAUCGAGUUAGAUCAGUCAACGAAUAAUGGAAGAAUCGAUACAAUGUCGCUCCAUUGACGUCGCCGUGUUUUCAUUCCCCCUCGCCUAUAUCGUUCAAAAUACGAAAUUCAUCGCGGUUUCGGGUAAAGUUAUUGAUACAAUUUUUGAGGGAAAAGUGGAUUGUUUGUUCUCGACGCGCUCGAUGAUGGCGUGCUAAUCGUUCGUGUAAAACGAUUAUAUGGCGUUCAAAGUGACUUAAAGCCACCAAAAUUAUUAUUAUUUUAUUGCUUGCUAAUGACGAUUCUAUCUUUUCGAGUUUAACGAGUUUACAACUCCCGCAAACGUAAUGAACGAUUUCUAUGAAGGAUAACUCAUUUGUCUUAUUACGAUUUAACGAAUUAGUUAUUUACUUGACAAUCUGUUAUAAUGACAGAUGUAUUAUUUCAGCGAACAAUAUGGCUGACUUAUUUUUAAUGUUGCGGUCUGUUUGACUCUGAUGACGAUGAUUGACAAGCUAACAGGUAUAAUAUUAAAUAUAUUAUUUCAGCAACAAAUAAUAUGGGUAAUAUAACUUAUUUAUGGGUUUGUAAUUUGCUAAAAUCUGAGGAUAAUUGAGGUUAUACUUUUUACAAUUCGCAUUAAUAAAGGAGUAAGAUUACAAUUGUAAAAUUUUCUCCUUCUAAGAACUAUAAAACGUAGGUGAAUCUACACGUUUUACUCGAUUUGAAAGAUUUAAAAUCCCAUGAAAUUUUUAAGUUUCUUCUAUAUCCAAUGAUAUUGUGUCUCGUUACAGUGUUUCAAGGACUUUCGUUGCAACAGGAUGACUGUCGUUUUCAUUGGAAAGUAAGUGAUUUAAAGAGCUUGUAAAUUAAGUUAGCAUUUGCAAGAUUAUCGAUACAGGACAAUUGUUUCAACGAAUUAUAUGGGUAUACGGUAUGAAUGCAAAAUGGGCCAGAUAUAUAAUAACGUACUUAAUCAAUUUCGAGGGUGAACGUAUCAGAUCGUCAAGCUUCAAUGUAAAAUCUCGUCUCGCUUAUCCGACGGCGACAAGUGAACGCACGCGAUUUGGCGCUGUCAGCCGGAAACGCGGGAUUUUCAAAUUUUAAUCGAAUCCGUCUCGCCCGCGCGUUUUCCGUCGAUUAAACGCUUUACAAGCACGGACGGCCGCACGUCCUCCGACGAGGGGAAUAUUUCAUUGGCCGCGAUCCUGCAUAAAACAGCGCGAGAAAACGAAUUACUCUUGCAAGUUGACUGAAUUGCGUACGAUACAUUAAUAAUAAUACGUUAAUACGUCAGUCAUCGAAUAAAUAAAAUCGCGAAAUUAACGAGUAGUACCAAGUAAUUUCGUAUUUCCUUUUAAUGAUCAUUUAACGAGUCAUAUCGUCAAGGGUUAAAAAUUUCUGAUUGGCAAUAUGUUUGGCGAAAAAACAAUAUGCAUUUAUUAAAAUUGUAAGGUAUUUAUGUUCCACAUUUUUUGCAGUUAUUACUAUUUGAAGGUAAUACUGGUCGUGAUGGUUUAGUUUUUGAUAAAACCUCGCCAUAGCCUCGGGCGAGGAAUAUUUCAUCGGAAAAUGCGAAAAAUCCCUAGAAAUGAUUAAACAUUCGAAUAAUAUCAACAGCGAUGCUAGCCACCUGUUUGGGCCACAUUUUUUCCAAUUUUGCGAUUCUCUAGCUGUAGAAUAAAGGAUGAUUGCCUACAAAAUAAACAAUUAUUACAAUACAACAGUUCCAACGUGUCAUUUGACCAUUCAAAGAAACUAGUUGCAAUGCUAGUGAAGCGUCUAGAUAAUAUCCCUAUUAGACACAGUUCGCUCGUAGAAGUCUCAAGUAAUAACAAACGCAAGUUAGUGCGAUUAGUAUAUUACUGGGCAAGCUUUCUAAAUUCACGAAUACAUAAGAAACAACCAUGUUGUUUAGCCACCAUACGAGAAGAAUAACAAAAUCAUCCAUGCGCAAAAAAGAAGUCCAAGAAUGAUUCGACAAUGCGACAGAGGAUAUAAUAGAAGUCACGUGACGUACGUUCGUCGACGAGAGCGCCAUCGGAGAUCCGUAUGCGGCCACGGGUCUAUUCUCAUUCCGUUGAAACGAUAUCCACGGCAUAGUAAUGAAAACCCUGUUUCGUUUCCUAUGCAAAGGACCGGCGCGUACUUUUAAACGUGCCGUAAUAAUACCUUACUAGAAGCAAUUAAGUGCAAAUACAACCGAUUGGGAUGAACGUGCGCACCGGCGGAUGCAUUCAGGGGGUUAGGACGUGGAGAUAGGAUGGACACGGAGGAAGUGGCCCAGGAGAGGAGGGAGCGAAAAGAGGAAGGGACAGAGAGGAUAGAGAGAGGAAGGCAGAUCGGAAAUUGCUUCGAGCAUGCUCGCUCGCAAUAAUACCACGCCUGGCUAUGUGUGUGUGUGUGUAUGUAUGUGCACGUGUGUAUACCACGAGUCUGGCCCUCUAUGUGUAACUACACGUACAUACGUGCAUAUCCGAUGUGUAGCUAUAGGUAUUUGCGUAUCUAUAUAUAUAUGUAUAGGCAUACCAAUACCAGAAUACGGUAAGAACAAAGCCGACGGCAAAUGACAGCAGUAAUUUUCGCAAACUGUUGUAGGAUGCGCGCUGUGGCAUUCAAGAAUACCGUGGCGUCGUUGCCGCUCUUCGAAAUGGUACUACUUUUCCUUUUCUCUUACAUACAUUCUUUCUUUGACGCCUUCAUCUCUCACGCUGAUGAUCCUCACAACUUACAGGUUUCUUUUCUGGCGGCGUGGUUUCGCUUUUUGAUACCACGGUCGAUAAGUGGCAGACGCUUGAAGACUUAAGAAGAAUUUUAUUGAUGAUUUAACGAGCUUAAUUUGGUAGUAUUUGACAGUUUAAUUUGAGUAAGAAUAUUCAACGUCGAAGGUAAGGAGUUGGAAAGCUCGGGGAACUUUAUGAAAACCAAUCAGGCAGAAUUAAUCCGAGGGCAAUGUAACGUGUCAAUAGACGUGACUGGUUCUUGUAAGGAUUUUUCAAUUGGUUAAGUAUGUAUUUAAAUCUUAACAGAUCCGUUAAGGCAUUUCUAUUUUAUUCUACGAUUUAUUUCUAUAAUCUUUUCUUAAUGUUUCGCGUGAAUCAUUUCGCCGUCUUCCAUCUCAUCUGACUCUGUUUCCACGAGUUGUUCUUUGCAUUCGACGACGGCACUUUGUUUCCUUUUUUCCCCUCAUCGCUCUAUUUCUUACUUUGUCGCUUCGUUCUCCGUCUCUAUCGUGCGUUCAUUUGUCACACUCGCGUUGCUAAGCCGCAUACACAUGUGAGCACGCGUUGGUGGUACGGUGUGUACGGUAAAGCUGGAUUUACGCUUCAGAAGGAUCGGAAUCUGUGGGAAACCGAGCGUCCAAUUGACCGGCCAACUGUUACAGCACCCUUGAUUCUCUAUAGAUUCGAAUUCGAGAUCAAGGCGCGAAAGCCGCGCAAUGAAUAUCCGACCGCACAUAGUCAUAGGAUAAAGGAAAGUCCAGAAAAUUUUGCGGUGCGACGCUCGCGAACACGUCUCAUUUAUCCCCCUUUUUCCGUGAUUGUUUGUAUGCAGCGAUGGUUAGCCUAAAAAAAAGCACUAGGAACCAGGAGCGUACAGAACGAGGACGAUAAAUUUUUCUGGUGUGCGGGAAAAACAAAGGGAACACGAACCAACGCUUUCUCUCUCUCUCUCUCUCUCUCUCUCUCUCUCUCUCUCUCUCUCACUCGACGAAUUUCUCCUCGUAACAACCGAACAAUGAAAAAAAUGCAGUAAAAAAAGAGAGAGAGAGAGAGGAAUGAGAGACGUUUUUUAACGACGAGCCACUAUGUAUACUACAAUCACGGAUUUAAAGAAAUUUCGAUGAAACGACAACAAUCUUGAUCAUCAGGGAUAAAAGAAAACCCGCUGAUCGUAAAUAUUUCGUUUCGUCUGGGAGCACGUGUGAUCCAUUAUUCAGGUGAGCACCUCCGACAGCUUAUGCUGCAAUAACUAAAUAAUGCCGCGCAUUCUUCCGCGUGCGAGCAUCGUUGAGCCUGGAGAAAGCCUUAGCCCGGGGAACGCUCGUAGCAUUAAGUCGUCCGAUGUCGAUGCCAGGCCAGCCGGCCGAGAGAGGAGAGCCUAGUAUAUAUGCAGUGUAUCUUGGCCAUGCAGAAGCGCGCGCGUGCAGCUGGAUGCACUCGCGUGCCGCCACGUAGCCAAUCACGUAGCACCGCACAAUACGCCGUGCCAGGGAAUAAUGCCCAAUUUUACACGAGGCAAGAUUGACGGCCGUAUACGUCCUUAUACAGGCGAGACGAAAUCGGCUUAAAAGUUUCAAAACUUGCCUGAGGCUGUGGCAAGACGAGGAACCAACGGAGUACUCUCGAGUGCAACAACUUUGAUAGGGGCAACAGCUCCAGGUAUUUCCGAUGUAUCGUUCGUAGAUCGCGCGGUAGGAAGAGGAGAACGGAGGAACGAAACCGGGAAAAAGAGUUUUAAUUUCUUCGGGAGCUCGCGGUCUGGCAUCCGUUCGUUCUACACGUGGAAAACCGUGUAAAGGCGGAACACAGCCGAAGGGGAACGGUGAACUGGAAGAAAAGUUACGUGGUAACAUGGCUCCUCGCUCGAAAGUCUGCCGCGCAGAGAGGUUCUUCGGUUGGGAACGAUAAAUGUCGCCCGUACGGCGAUUAUUCUGCCAAUUGCGAACACGGAGCAACCGUUGUAGCGUUGUAUCGAAGAACGAAUGGUAUUUCGAAUCGUCUUAACAUUUGUCUUGCUUUUCUCCAAUUUGGAAAGGAAUAAAAGAGAGAUUGCAAGAUAUACAAUCGAGAAGGGUCGCACAGAAAGCAUCCACGUGAGCCACGAACAAGUCACGAGACACGUGAUGACCAGCCAAUAAGAUUCCACUACUAUAUUAAACCUUUUAGGAGCCGCUUAAGUCGCGCAUAGAGUGACAAGCACCUGCCCUCGUACGACUGGAUAUACGAGGGGACGUCAGAUUAUCCCAUGGAGAGAGGUUUGCCCUCCCCCUCACGUCGCCCGCGGUCUUCUCUCCGUUGAAUAUCAAACGAGGUAUAUACACACAGGUGAAAGUAUAGAGUAAGAGAGAGAUGCUCGUUGCCUUAGUCAUCCUAGACGUAUUGUUGGACCGUCAACGGAGUGAGAGUAGGUAGAACAAUGCCGCCAUGCGUCACGACGCUUGGACGUCUGCCGUGAAUGCAGCUAUGUGGAGAAUAAUUAUCGUUGUUUGCACUUCGUUUUCCUGUCCGCCGUUGGGACGUUAAUAUUUUUCGGCCUUAAUUGAUGCGCCGAUAAUGGUGCGUGGGCACUACGGAACGGGCGCUUGUUUAGCUUGGAACCCUGGCUUGUCUCCUUCUUAUACAGGGUGGCCCAGUAACGGCGAUAGAAUCGGCAAGAAGGAGAUUUUACGUGAAAAACUAAACAAGAAAUGCAGAAUAACAUUUUCUCGGACGGCGCUUCGUUCGUGAGAAAAUGGAAUUUGAAAAUAUGGUGGAGAUGUAUGAAUUUGGUAAUUCCUGAUUGGAUACGAGUGUACGAUUACGACGGUAAUGAUAAUGGGACGUUAUUGUACUUGUAAAAAUAGCUGGAAGAUGUGAAAUAACAUUUGCUAAAGUCUCGUUUUAGAGAAAAUGAAGUUCGAAUGUGUUUAACGAAGAAUUAACCUGCAUGCUCUUCGACAUUUAAAUUCAAUUUUCUCGAGAAAGAAACUCAGAGUAGAGAAAUCUUAUUUUACGUUUCCGAUCUGUUGUCUCACGUAGAAUAACUUGCUUCCGAAUAUCUAUUUCUGUUCAGUCAGGAAUUAGCCAAGUUUUUCUACGCUUGAUAGAAUUUCAACGUUAAUAUAUUUAACGUCAUAAGAAAGUAUCUUUUUCAAAUAUUGUACUUCUGACUUACUUAUUUCCAUAGAAUUUAAAAUAUCUUGCCGAUUGUACUAUGAUUACUGAGACGCCCUGUACAGACGAAAAGGAAGAUAUGUACGCACACAUACACACUUGAUGCUCGAUUCGACGCCAAUAAACCGCACAAUCGACGAUAAUAUAUUCCUUCUGGCGUGUUCUCGCUCCCUUUUGUUGCGAACCUAAGACGAAUGAAUUUCAAACCGGGGGAUGUGUCCGAUGUUUGAUCGUAUUUACCAAGCCACUGUUCUUCUGUGUCUCCCUGCAUUCAUCUACUCAUAAAUUAAGGGGGCUUGAUGUUGUAAAGUUGCGGUGGAGAAUCAGAGGCAUCUGACGUCUUAUCGACGUAAUUUAUUAUAGAAUCUUUUGACAUCGCUAUGUAGCGUACGUAUAUACAGCGUUUCAUAGAUUAAAAACUUUAAGCCCAAUUUCCAAAUGCGUAACGAGAGAUCGUUAUAGGUUAUAUUAUAUUAUAUGUUAUUUUAUAUAAUAACGUUUCUGUUUUGUAAGAUAUAAAAUACAAUGUUCUAUUAAAUAAAGGUUAUACAGGGUGGUUGGUAACUUGGUAAAAAAAUUAAAAAAAAUUUUUUUUUUAAUUUGUCCAUCGAGACAACGAUCUACAGUGAGAUCCGUUAUAACGAGACGUGAUAAAGUGCACGCGUACCGAGCGAAAAUUCAAAGUCGGUUUUCUCGAAAACAAAGCCUCGAACGAAAAAUUUCUAUUCUAUAUUUUCGACUUCUUUUUUCGCGUAGAAUCACCCCCUUUCCGCUUGUACCACCAGUUACCAACCACCCUGUAUAUUAUUUCGGGUUUGUAAAAAUAUCGAUUUUAAGACGUUCUAUUUCAAAACUGACUACGAGAAUAUAAAGCCAUUAAAUCUUGAUUCUUUAUAUUACUUUCGUCGUCUCUCUUUAUAUCUAACAGACUGUUCUAAUAUAACGGAUAUACCCAGCCUCCGGAGUUAAGAGGUUAAUAACCAUUGAUAAAUUUGACUGAUCUUUCUUUCCAUUUUACGAGUAAUUAUAAGUAGCCGUGUAUCUUAGUGGCAAGGACCACAUUAAUUCGUAAUUACACGGUACUUUAGACCAUCAGCGGUACGGGCUAAUGCUAUGACUCGACGGUACGGUGAAUCCCCGAC